GAUGAACGCUGGCGGCGCGCCUAACACAUGCAAGUCGAACGGCACCCCACCUCGGUGGGAAGCGAGUGGCGAACGGCUGAGUAACACGUGGAGAACCCGCCCCCUCCUCCGGGAUAGCCUCGGGAAACCGUGGGUAAUACCGGAUGACGCCCGGACGACGCAUGUCGCCCGGGCCAAAGCCCAGACGGGAGGGGAUGGCUCCGCGGCCCAUCAGGUAGACGGCGGGGUGAAGGCCCACCGUGCCGACGACGGGUAGCCGGGUUGAGAGACCGACCGGCCAGAUUGGGACUGAGACACGGCCCAGACUCCUACGGGAGGCAGCAGUGGGGAAUCUUGCGCAAUGGGGGGAACCCUGACGCAGCGACGCCGCGUGCGGGACGAAGGCCCUAGGGUCGUAAACCGCUUUCAGCAGGGAUGAGACAAGACGGUACCYGCAGRA
rnacentral:rRNA from 1 species